rnacentral:tRNA from 2 species
CGAAUUGGUAGAACAGCGGUCUCCAAAACCGAUGGUUGGGGGUUCGAGUCCCUCCACCC